rnacentral:rRNA from 1 species
UGGGGUGCUCGAGUGGCGAACGGGUGAGUAACACGUGAGUAACCUGCCCUUGACUUUGGGAUAACUUCAGGAAACUGGGGCUAAUACCGGAUAGGAGCUCCUGCUGCAUGGUGGGGGUUGGAAAGUUUCGGCGGUUGGGGAUGGACUAGCGGCUUAUCAGCUUGUUGGUGGGGUAGUGGCUUACCAAGGCUUUGACGGGUAGCCGGCCUGAGAGGGUGAACGGCCACAUUGGGACUGAGAUACGGCCCAG